rnacentral:rRNA from 1 species
CCUACGGGUGGCAGCAGUGGGGGAUAUUGACAAUGGGGGAAACCCUGAUCCAGCGAUGCCGCGUGAGGGAAGAAGGUUUUCGGAUUGUAAACCUCUGUGGAGGGGGACGAUAAUGACGGUACCCCUUUAGGAAGCCACGGCUAACUACGUGCCAGCAGCCGCGGUUAUCAGUAGGUGGCGAGCGUUGUCCGGAAUUACUGGGGGGAAAGGGAGUGUAGGUGGGAAAGUAAGUCGGACGUGAAACCUAUGGGCUUAACCCAGAGACUGCUUUUGAAACUGGUUUUCUUGAGUGACGUAGAGGCAAGCGGAAUUCCUAGUGUAGCGGUGAAAUGCGUAGAUAUUAGGAAGAACACCAGUGGCGAAGGCGGCUUGCUGGGCUUUUACUGACGCUGAGGCUCGAAAGCGUGGGGAGCAAACAGGAUUAGAUACCCCUGUAGUC